rnacentral:misc_RNA from 1 species
GCAUGCCGCGAUUCCCUUCAACGCAGUUCCCGCAACACCCCGCAUACAUCCCCCACCACUCGAAUUUCCGCGCGUUCAUCCGAACGGCGAUUUCCAGCCAGCUUUUGAAAAAUGCAGGCGUGCAGGGCAAGGCCUUCAAAUUAGAACAUCUGCAAACUGACGCUUCAGACACGUUCGCCGAUUGCAACAUGACGCGCAGCGCGACUAGAACAAGCGCAGAAGUGCACCAUCGCACUUGCAGUUACGUAUUUUUAGAAUCUCUCCAAACUUACUGAAUUAGAAACAGUCUAAAUGCCGACAGCAACU